GUAUUACCAAUGUUAUUUCAACUGAUCGGGCGGAGCUUACGUUUUAAUUUGCAUAAGGACAGUCUACUUGAAGAUGUGUGUGAUUAGGAUGAUUGCCGUUAUAAUUAUUACUGAUUUCUAAUCACCUAUCAGUGUCACCAAAGAAAUUUACAAAAGAAUGACUGGACACUUCAUAGAUGAGUUUAUCCUAAAACACCUAUCUAUAGAUGGACUGGUUUAUUAUGAGCGAACCGGUUAAACUCCGCCCAGUCAAGUGAAAUAAAUCGAGUAAUAGUUCUGUAAAAAGUUUUUGAU
rnacentral:lncRNA from 1 species